CUUUACAUACCCGGGCAAAAUGUAAGGAAUAGAAAGGUGGGAAUCAUUACAUUCUCAACAACACUGUUUCCUUUUGUGAUAUUGGGACAAUCUGAAGAGGAGAUAUUGUUGAUCUGGGGUGAGCCGGUCAUUUUCUCCCGAUCCAGGUGACUCGAUGGAAACAAGAAUUAGAACUAGUAAAAUUUUUUGGCUGAUAGAAUGAUGUUGAUUGAAAACCAAUUUUGAUUCUGCAUUAAUCCGGUUCAUUUUCAAGAAAUCCAUAUACAUCACGAUGGGAAAUACAAUCAGAACCUAUAAUGUAUUUUUGCUGAAGGAAUCAAUGAUGUAUAAAUUCUGAUACUCUUGAUAUUUCUUUGCUAAGAGAAUGAUGUUUGUUUCUGGGGAUUGAAUUCGAAAUUUGUUUCUGCUUAAUGAAAGAGUUCAUUU
rnacentral:lncRNA from 1 species